rnacentral:rRNA from 1 species
UACGAAGGGGGCUAGCGUUGCUCGGAAUUACUGGGCGUAAAGGGCGCGUAGGCGGGUGUUUAAGUCAGAGGUUAAAUCCCAGAGCUCAACUCUGGAACUGCCUUUGAUACUGGACACCUAGAGUACGGGAGAGGUGUGUGGAACUCCGAGUGUAGAGGUGAAAUUCGUAGAUAUUCGGAAGAACACCAGUGGCGAAGGCGACACACUGGCCCGUUACUGACGCUGAGGCGCGAAAGCGUGGGGAGCAAACAGG